UUUACUCACUGGGAUUUUAUAAUCUCACCACCCUCAUUUCCUCACAUUUCAAGCUCGGGGAAUUCCAUAGUUAGCUGACUUUGACAAGGACCUUCAUUUGGACUUGAAUCGGUAAAAGCUGUAGGUUUUCAGCUUCCGAUGCAUUUUGGUUAAAUGUGGGCCCACGUGUCACUGUAAAAGAAAUUUUAUGCUUUGGUUAUUUGCUUUAUAGUAUAUAUGAAUAUAAUUAACUUU
rnacentral:lncRNA from 1 species